UGUGGCAGUUAUACAACAAAGCAUUGUGAGGGCCCUAGCGGGUGUUGACGCAUCGUGAUUUCUGCCCAGUGCUCUGAAUGUCAAAGUUUAGAAAUUGAAGCAAGCGCGAGUAAACGGCGGGAGUAACUAUGACUCUCUUAAGGGGGACUCCGCCCUUAACCCGUCUCCCUCGUCUGAGCAUU
rnacentral:rRNA from 1 species